rnacentral:rRNA from 1 species
UACGUAGGGAGCGAGCGUUGUCCGGAAUUACUGGGCGUAAAGGGCGCGUAGGCGGUAUCUUAAGUCAGGUGUGAAAACUCCGAGCUCAACUUGGAGAUUGCACUUGAAACUGGGAUUCUUGAGGUCAGGAGAGGAAAGUGGAAUUCCUAGUGUAGCGGUGAAAUGCGUAGAUAUUAGGAGGAACACCAGUGGCGAAGGCGACUUUCUGGACUGCACCUGACGCUGAGGCGCGAAAGCGUGGGGAGUGAACGGGAUUAGAUACCCCGGUAGUCCCUGA